AACGCAUAUUGCGCUCUCUGGUAUUCCGGAGAGCAUGCUUGUUUGAGUAUCAGUAAAACACCUCAAGCUCUAGCAAGAUUUUUUUUAAUAUUUUGUUAGUGAUUGGAAUUGAGUGAUCCCAACACACAAUUUAUUUUUGUGGCGGGUUACUUGAAAUGCAGGUGCAGCUGGAUUUUCAUCUGAGCUAAAGGCAUAUUUAUUUAGUCCCUUUAAAAAAGGAUUAUUACUUUGCUGCAGCUAAUACUAAAGGAUGAAAUUCUAAAUUUGCUGACAGAUGCAGGAAAUUUUACAAAAGGAUUUUUUUUUUCUUUUUGUAUUUCUCGAUCUCAAAUCAAGUAAGACUACCCGCUGAACUUAA
rnacentral:misc_RNA from 1 species